rnacentral:tRNA from 1 species
GGAGAGUUAGUUUAUACUAAAGAUUUAGGGUUGUCGGCCCUGAGAAGCUGAUGAAGCACUUUCCU